GAUGAACGCUGGCGGCGUGCCUAAUACAUGCAAGUCGAGCGAACAGAUGAGGAGCUUGCUCCUCUGACGUUAGCGGCGGACGGGUGAGUAACACGUGGAUAACCUACCUAUAAGACUGGGAUAACUUCGGGAAACCGGAGCUAAUACCGGAUAAUAUAUUGAACCGCAUGGUUCAAUAGUGAAAGACGGUUUUGCUGUCACUUAUAGAUGGAUCCGCGCCGCAUUAGCUAGUUGGUAAGGUAACGGCUUACCAAGGCAACGAUGCGUAGCCGACCUGAGAGGGUGAUCGGCCACACUGGAACUGAGACACGGUCCAGACUCCUACGGGAGGCAGCAGUAGGGAAUCUUCCGCAAAGGGCGAAAGCCUGACGGAGCAACGCCGCGUGAGUGAUGAGGGUCUUCGGAUCGUAAAACUCUGUUAUUAGGGAAGAACAAAUGUGUAAGUAACUAUGCACGUCUUGACGGUACCUAAUCAGAAAGCCACGGCUAACUACGUG
rnacentral:rRNA from 1 species